rnacentral:rRNA from 1 species
GGAUCCGAUUUAGCCAUGCUAGUCGCACGAGUUCAGACUCGUGGCGAAUAGCUCAGUAACACGUGGCCAAACUACCCUUCGGAACACAAUACCCUCGGGAAACUGAGGCUAAUAGUGUAUACCAUACCACCACUGGAAUGAGUGGUAUGCCAAACGCUCCGGCGCCGAAGGAUGUGGCUGCGGCCGAUUAGGUAGACGGUGGGGUAACGGCCCACCGUGCCAAUAAUCGGUAUGGGUCAUGAGAGUGAGAACCCAGAGACGGAAUCUGAGACAAGAUUCCGGGCCCUACGGGGCGCAGCAGGCGCGAAACCUUUACACUGCACGACAGUGCGAUAGGGGGAUCCCAAGUGCACAGGCAUAGCGCCUGUGCUUUUCGGUACCCUAAGGCGGUACCAGAAUAAGGGCUGGGCAAGACCGGUGCCAGCCGCCGCGGUAAUACCGGCAGCCCAAGUGAUGGCCGAUCUUAUUGGGCCUAAAGCGUCCGUAGCUGGCCGCGCAAGUCCAUCGGGAAAUCCACCUGCUCAACAGGUGGGCGCCCGGUAGAAACUGCGUGGCUUGGGACCGGAAGGCGCGACGGGUACGUCCGGGGUAGGAGUGAAAUCCCGUAAUCCUGGACGGACCGCCGAUGGCGAAAGCACGUCGCGAGAACGGAUCCGACAGUGAGGGACGAAAGCCAGGGUCUCGAACCGGAUUAGAUACCCGGGUAGUCCUGGCCGUAAACAAUGUCUGCUAGGUGUGGCUCCCACUACGAGUGGGUGCUGUGCCGUAGGGAAGCCGCUAAGCAGACCGCCUGGGAAGUACGUCCGCAAGGAUGAAACUUAAAGGAAUUGGCGGGA